rnacentral:rRNA from 1 species
CACCAGCGCCACGAGUGGUCAUCGCGAUUAUUGGGCCUAAAGCGUUCGUAGCCGGUUUGGUAACUCUCUUGUGAAAUUGUUCUGCUUAACGGAACAGCGUGCAGGAGACACUACCAGGCUCGAGACCGGGAGGGGUCAGAGGUAUUCCGUGGGGACUGGUAAAAUGGGAUAAUCCACGGAGGACCACCGAUGGCGAAGGCAUCUGACCAGAACGGAUCUGACGGUGAGGAACGAAAGCCAGGGGAGCGAACCGGAUUAGAUACCCGAGUAGUCCUGGCCGUAAACGCUGUGAGCUAGGUGUUGCGUAUCCUACGUGGAUGCGCAGUGUCGAAACGAAGGUAAUAAGCUCACCGCCUGGGUAGUACGGUCGCAAGACUGAAACUUUAAGGAAUUGGCGGGGGCGCACUACAAGGGGUGCGGCGUGCGGUUUAAUCUAACUCAACGCAGAGAACCUUACUAGAAGCGACGGCAGGAUGAAGACCAUGCUAAAGACAUUGUCAGACGAGCCGAGAGGUAGUGCAUGGCCGCCGUCAGCUCGUGCCGUGAGGUGUCCAGUUAAGUCUGGUAACGAGCAAGACCUGUAUCCACAAUUGCUAACGAACUUUGUGAUCGAGCACUUUGUGGAGACUGCCUUCGUAAGAAGGAGGAAGGUGCAGGCAACGGUAGGUCUGUAUGCUCCGAAUCUUCUAGGCUACACGCGCGCAACAAUGGUACGUACAAUGGGAUGCUACUCCGAAAGGAGACGCGAAUCCUCUAAAACCUAUCGUAGUUCGGAUCGAGGCUUGCAACUCAGCCUCGUGACGUCGGAAUCCCUAGUAAUCAGCUGUCAUCAUCUGCUGGUGAAUAUGUCCCUGCGCCU